GACACGACCGUACCGCAAACCGACACUGGUGCGCGAGAUGAGUAUUCUAAGGCGCUUGAGAGAACUCGGGAGAAGGAACUCGGCAAAUUGACACCGUAACUUCGGAAGAAGGUGUGCCUUUAGUAGGUGAAGGGAUUUACUCCUGGAGCCCAAUGAGGUUGCAAAAAAUCGGUGGCUGCGACUGUUUAUUAAAAACACAGCACUCUGCAAACACGAAAGUGGACGUAUAGGGUGUGACGCCUGCCCGGUGCUGGAAGAUUAAAUGAUGGGGUGCAAGCUCUUGAUUGAAGUCCCAGUAAACGGCGGCCGUAACUAUAACGGUCCUAAGGUAGCGAAAUUCCUUGUCGGGUAAGUUCCGACCUGCACGAAUGGCGUAACGAUGGCCACACUGUCUCCUCCCGAGACUCAGCGAAGUUGAAAUGUUUGUGAUGAUGCAAUCUCCCCGCGGAAAGACGGAAAGACCCCAUGAACCUUUACUGUAGCUUUGUAUUGGACUUUGAACAGAUCUGUGUAGGAUAGGUGGGAGGCUUUGAAGCAGGGUCGCUAGAUCUUGUGGAGCCAACGUUGAAAUACCACCCUGGUGUGUUUGAGGUUCUAACCUAGGUCCAUCAUCUGGAUCGGGGACAGUGCAUGGUAGGCAGUUUGACUGGGGCGGUCUCCUCCCAAAGCGUAACGGAGGAGUUCGAAGGUACGCUAGGUACGGUCGGACAUCGUGCUAAUAGUGCAAUGGCAUAAGCGUGCUUAACUGCGAGACUGACAAGUCGAGCAGAUGCGAAAGCAGGACAUAGUGAUCCGGUGGUUCUGUAUGGAAGGGCCAUCGCUCAACGGAUAAAAGGUACUCUGGGAUAACAGGCUGAUACCGCCCAAGAGUUCAUAUCGACGGCGGUGUUUGGCACCUCGAUGUCGGCUCAUCUCAUCCUGGGGCUGUAGCCGGUCCCAAGGGUAUGGCUGUUCGCCAUUUAAAGAGGUACGUGAGCUGGGUUUAAAACGUCGUGAGACAGUUUGGUCCCUAUCUUCCGUGGGCGCUGCAGAUUUGAGGAAGCCUGCUCCUAGUACGAGAGGACCGGAGUGGACGCACCCCUGGUGUAUCGGUUGUCACGCCAGUGGCAUUGCCGAGUAGCUAUGUGCGGAAGAGAUAACCGCUGAAAGCAUCUAAGCGGGAAACUCGUUUCAAGAUGAGAUCUGCCGGGGCCUUGAGCCCCCUGAAGAGUCGUUCUAGACCAGGACGUUGAUAGGUCAGGUGUGGAAGCGAA
rnacentral:rRNA from 1 species